CCACUGUAUUUUUAUAAGAUGAAAAAAAAUCUACAUGCUGAAAUCAUCCAACUCUAUGAUUUAUAAAGGUGGUAAUGUUACAUAACUAAUUUUUUGCAAAGAAAAAAAGAUGAGGGAAUAGAAGCUUCAAGGGUUAGCCAAGUGUAUGUCCAUAAGGUAGUUUAUUUUCUAUCGUCCACUUUUAUUGUAAUAAAGGCUUGAAAAUGUCUAAAAUACCUGAGGAUCCCCUUCUAAA
rnacentral:lncRNA from 1 species